UCUGCAGUAGAAAUUCAUGUUCAUCAGAUGUGGCCUAGUAGUUAGGAAUUCGAGAUAUGUUAAGCGGAUGAAUAUUAAAUGUUCAGUGCGUUCUGUUUUAAACAUUCUUUUGACUACUGCUUAAUAAUAAUGCACUGAAAUUUGCCAUUUUUUCGUACCAACCCGAGAGACAAUUUUUCACGACAAACGCGGUUAUUUGAAAGUUGAUUUUUCACUAGACGUAAUUUGAAUGUGCAGUUCCUGUACUCAACCCUACAGUGUGCAAAAAAAGACGGUGGAAAAAAUCUGCUCAUCAUGCUGAUCCGCACAAAGCCAGAUCCAUAGUCAGAGAAAAAUGUGUAGAAACUGAAAUUCUAGCCCUGGAAACCCAAGGUGCCCUUCUGCUUCAACAAGGCUAUGAAGCAAUUACAAUUUCAGGAGGUCCCAAUUCAGUUAACGCGGUGAUGGUCGAUUAUGCUAAUAUGGCAGCUAAGGAACAUGCCUUAUUGCUUAAUCGGAUUGAAAUCGCGACGUCGGAAGAAGAGCGUCUUGUUCUAGAAGAACUGUCCAGUCGCAACCAGUAUGUUGCCCCGCUACUGCCUAUUCACAUUGGCGGUGUUAAGGGCCGAACUUAUAGCUAUUUCGUAGAACUGAGCUCUGAUCAGACACAGCCAAACUGGAAUGAUCUAGCCCCCUACGCCCGCUUGAUACAGCGUGUUUGCUAUAAAUUCGGAAAGGCUGGGCGUGAAUCGGUGACAGACGUUACACCUACCUACUUAACGAGUAACAUUUUGGCGAUCUUGAGGGAAGCGGAUUAUUUGUCAAAUAAAAUAUUACGGGAUUCGGGUUGCUAUAAUAAGAAGCUAGCGCAGAUGCUAAUCAUCCAAUCUUGAUCCCUUUCACUUUGAUCGCGAUUCUAGUCAACGCAUUCCAUCAUGCCAUUGAUCAUUCUUUUCACAGGACUUUAUGACUGGAAUUCCUGCAAUUCCUGAUACCCAUUUGCCCCAAGAGGUUGAAGACAAGAUGGUUGAAACCGUCUUAACUGUUCCAGGAAUUUUUAGGGUCUUGUAUGAUCUGACUGCGAAACCACCCUGGACAAUGGAGUGGGAAUUAUUUGAUUUACGAACGUUUCUUAGGCAAAUGAUCUCCGCCACUCUUUACAGAACACGGAUACGGAAUUUUAUCACUGACCAGAUUUAGAAGGGAUAUAUUAUAAUAGUGGAUUCAGUAAAGACUUUGGAAAUUGAAAAAUUAAUCAGCUUUGUCGUCUCGUGAAAAUCUCUUAAACUGGCUUCUUAGGAAA
rnacentral:misc_RNA from 1 species